rnacentral:rRNA from 1 species
AGUGAACGCUGGCGGCAGGCCUAACACAUGCAAGUCGAACGGCAGCACAGUAAGAGCUUGCUCUUACGGGUGGCGAGUGGCGGACGGGUGAGGAAUACAUCGGAAUCUACUUUUUCGUGGGGGAUAACGUAGGGAAACUUACGCUAAUACAGCAUAUGAUCUACGGGUGAAAGCAGGGGAUCUUCGGACCUUGCGCGAUUGAAUGAGCCGAUGUCGGAUUAGCUAGUUGGCGGGGUAAAGGCCCACCAAGGCGACGAUGCGUAGCUGGUCUGAGAGGAUGAUCGGCCACACUGGAACUGAGACACGGUCCAGACUCCUACGGGAGGCAGCAGUAGGGAAUAUUGGACAAUGGGCGCAAGCCUGAUCCAGCCAUGCCGCGUGGGUGAAGAAGGCCUUCGGGUUGUAAAGCCCUUUUGUUGGGGAAGAAAAGCAGCAGGUUAAUACCCCGCUGUUCUGACGGUACCCAAAGAAUAAGCACCGGCUAACUUCGUG